GCUCUCCGAGCGUGUGUGUUUGAGCGGUCUGAGUGCGUCGGUCUUGGAUUGCAACAGCAACAUGCCGCGUUCUAACGUGAAUUGCUGCGUUGUGAAUUGCCACAGCACCUACGCGAACUCGCCUGGAACAAGUUUUUUUAGGUUCCCCAGCAAGCCGUACGAAGCGAAGAGACGGGAACGCUGGAUUGCUCUUGUCCGACGACAAAACAAGGACGGCGCAGGCUGGUGACCUACUCCAUACACAAGGAUCUGCAGCAAACACUUUGUGGGCGGUGUAAAGGUGAAUGAAGAGGGGCAUCCAGCCUACUACCCCUCCAUAUUUCCUGCUACAUACAGGGCAGCACCUGGCCCACUCUCUGAAGACCGCUAUGUCAGGAAAAGAAGAAGGCAAGAGCAAAGGAUGCUGCUGGACAAGCAGACUGCUGAGGUGCAUGGACAAGCAGCUGAAGCGGUAAUGAAGUUAAUUUAUGUGGGCGAUGAAGCCCGCUUUUUUCCAGGCCCUGUUUUCAUCGUCCACGGUUUUUGUGCAGCGAAAACUAA